ensembl:lncRNA
UCUUCACCUGCAAGUGAAUAUCACGCUACCCAAAUAUUUGGAUUGUGCUGGGAUUAUUUUCCGAACUUUUUUCUGCUAUCAAACGUCUGUUAUUUGUUCUUCAAGAAGAUUCAAAGAUCUCUGGAACACUCGAGAGAAAAACUAAAGACUUGGAUAAAGUGCAAGUGACUGUUCAUCAGUGGACAAAGUAUCAAACAAAAUGGGGAACAAGACGUCAUCAGAUGAUCAGGGAGAACAGAGAUGCACUGAUCUGGACGUGCCUCUCUUGACACCAGACAUCUUCAACACCGUGAUCACCAUGUUCCAGA